rnacentral:lncRNA from 1 species
GAAAGAGGAACACUCCUCCAUUGUUGGUGGGAUUGCAGACUGGUACAACCAUUCUGGAAAUCAGUCUGGAGGUUCCUCAGAAAAUUGGACAUUGAACUGCCUGAGGAUCCAGCUAUACCUCUUUUGGGCAUAUACCCAAAAGAUGCCCCAACAUAUAAAAAAGACACGUGCUCCACUAUGUUCAUCGCAGCCUUAUUUAUAAUAGCCAGAAGCUGGAAAGAACCCAGAUGCCCUUCAACAGAGUAAUGGAUACAGAAAAUGUGGUACAUCUACACAAUGGAAUAUUACUCAGCUAUCAAAAACAACGGCUUUAUG